CUUCAGUACAUGACAAGUGGUCUCAUUUUCAUAAAAAAUUUCAAUAAUUUCAUUCUGAAGCGCAAAGAAGACGAAUGAAGAAAUAAGAGCUAGCUGUUUCUUCGGUGGCUGAUGUGCACGUUUGAACUUUAAUAUGGCACAGCUUGAUUUCGUCGAAAAGCGUCGAAGGAUACUUACGUAGAGUAUUUUAAUAAUUUCAUUCUGAAGCGCAAAGAAGACGAAUAAAGAAAUAAGAGCUAGCUGUUUCUUCGGCGGUGAUGGUGCGCGUUUGAACUGUAAAUGUGGUACAGCUCGAUUUCGCCGAACAGCGUCGAAGAAUACUUACAAUCAUGAUGAAGAUCGUAUGAAGAAAAUUUGGAGUUUCUUCGGCGGCGGUGCACUACUCCGUAUACACUGUAGAUUGGUACAACUCGGUUUCCCGGGAAGAGUCGACGCUUAAAUCUUGCCAUAAUAUCGGAAAAACAAAAAAACUGAAAUAAUUACGCUAUAUCCUUGAAUAAUGUCAACCCGGAGGACGAUUGGCAGUAUCAUUAAGAAGCUCAUCUGAAUAACAAAAAUAAAUGUCACAAGGCUGUGUUUGUUUAAUACUAUAAUUUUUUUAACAGUAGUACAGUAUAUUAUGAAUAUUUACUUAAAUUAUAACUUAAUUUAAUAUAACUUAAUAUAACUUAAUUUUACUUAAAUUAUAUUUAAUUUUUAUGGUUUUUUUUUCAGAUAAUAUACUGUACUAUGGUUUUAGGUGUUCUUUUUAUUUUAAUAAUACGUUGAUAAAUUACCAAUUUUUUUUCUUAUCACAAAGCUAGUUCGUCUUUGUGUAUGUUUAAAUUUAUAUUUUUUAUAGUUAUUGUGCUGUUUAACUUUCUUAUAAAAGAGAGUGAGGAAUUAAAAAGGUGGCCACCGAACAGAAAGUUAAACUGCAAUAUACUAUAAUCUUUUUAGUUCGUGUUUACAUUUUUAACUGAUAAAUUAUGAAUAUAAAAUUUCAAAUUAAUUUAAACUCAAAAAUAAAAGAACACCAACAUAGAUUUCUUAAACAUUAAAAUUUUACUAUAAAUUUAAAUUACAUUUAAUCAGCACAUUAGUUGAAGUUUUAUAGGAACCGAACAUUUGGCUGGAUCAUGGACUACCCACCGACGGAGAAUUUGUCAUUGAGCUGAUGGGAAAUGUGUCGGCACUCGGCUUCGUUUCAACCCGGAGGAAGAUUGGCAGCAGCAAAAAGAAAUUCAACUGAUAAUCAACUGUCCAAAUGAAGAAGAAUUUGUCACAAAGCUGAUGGGAAAUGUGUCAGCACUCGGCUUCGUUUCAACCCGGAGGAAGAUUGGCAGCAGCAAAAAGAAAUUCAACUGAUAAUCAACUGUCCAAAUGAAGAAGAAUUUGUCACAAAGCUGAUGGGAAAUGUGUCGGCACUCGGCUUCGUUUCAACCCGGAGGAAGAUUGGCAGCAUCAAUAAGAAGCUCAUCUUAAUUUAGUUGUCCCCCCUUUACGCAUUAGCGCUCAUCUCUCAUCCACUCAUCCAACACAUUCACUAUCGCCGGCCGGCAACACACAUAUAUUAUACACAUUACCCGUUUUAUAUUAUAUAGUAUAGUAUUAUUAAUAUCCACAUAAUUUAAGUUAUUGUAUAUUUUUUUUUUAUUAUUUGAAUGCAUUCAUAUGAUUAGUGGCGUAUUUAGGAAUUUUAGGAUAAGGGCAACACAUAUUUUGCCACCUCCCCCCCAUUAAAAAAAAAUUAAAAACCUUCUACGCCGCGCAAUGGUCAAACUGUUAAUACCAUAGAAUACCAUGUUAUAUAAAUACUAUAGUAUUUUAUACCUCUAUGGCACACAUUUGUUGUGAAAAAUAUUAAUGAUUGACGUCACUGCGCCAGUACUCAUAAAGUACAAGAUAAAAAUUUGCCGUUCUGAACAACUGGACCCAAAGCCCCUACCUAAAUACUCCCCUGCAUAUGAUGCGUUCUUGCUUACGAUGUGGAUUAGGCCUACUGGGGACACCACAAUAAAAAAACGCGCCUCGUGUAAUACCUCAUAAAGUUAUUAAACAAUACGGACUAUGUUAUUGUACGUCG